rnacentral:rRNA from 1 species
UACGGAGGGGGCUAGCGUUAUUCGGAAUUACUGGGCGUAAAGCGCACGUAGGCGGACUGAAAAGUCAGAGGUGAAAUCCCAGGGCUCAACCUUGGAACUGCCUUUGAAACUCUCGGUCUUGAGGUCGAGAGAGGUGAGUGGAAUUCCGAGUGUAGAGGUGAAAUUCGUAGAUAUUCGGAGGAACACCAGUGGCGAAGGCGGCUCACUGGCUCGAUACUGACGCUGAGGUGCGAAAGCGUGGGGAGCAAACAGG